rnacentral:tRNA from 1 species
ACUUAGGUAGUUCAAUGGUAGAAUCCCGCUCUGUUAAAGCGGUAGUUGUUGGUUCGAGUCCAACCCUAAGUGCCA